UGCCCUCACUUACAAAUGUGUUCUGAUGGGCAAAGGACACAUGUUCCAGCUCCACCAGCAGAGCUGAUGUCACACAGCAGAGCUGGGCCUCUGGGGCAGGCAUGGGAGGGAGCCCAUGGGUUGGAAUGCAAGCAGGAAGCUGCUGCAAGAGGAGUUGAGGAUGAAACUGAACCUGCUGGAGACCACAGCUGGAGGCACUUCUAGGGAGCCAUGGGAGAGAGAUGGAGAAAUGAAAAACCGAGAUACCUAUUCAGGUCUACAAGACUGAAACCUGACUGCAACUCAGUUGAGCUCCUACAAUGACAAAGAACAUACGUGCAGGAAUAGUGUAUUGGUGAAACAUCGAGGAGAAGAGUUCUCAUACUUGCAGCUUUGUUUUGCUUUUAUAGCUGCCUGUUACACAGCAAUUGCUUUAAGGGGGAUGAUGCCAUAUUGCACCACAUGGCUGGAAUAGACUCCAUCCUUUUACUUCAAAGCUGUAAAGAACUGAACCAGGGGGUGGGGAGAAGAGAAGGUAAAAAAAUACACUACAGAUGAAGAAAUAUGCUACAGCAAAAGAGAAAUCACUUGGAGCUGUUGGCAGCAAAAAACUUCACUUACAGAACCUAGGCUGCUGGGGAUUUCCUUGAAGAUGACCCACUGAAGAUGUGUUUGAUUUGAACUGGUAAAGGCUGGUGCCUCUUUGUACUUGAGGACCCUAGUGGGAUACUCAAGGCUAAUUAAAAUUUUUUUGCAUGUAGUAGCUUUGAUGGUUAGCACAUAAACAAGAAAGCAAGAAAACAACAGAAGAUACCAUGGCAGUACAAAAGAGGGACUCCAACACACAGAGAGAGAGAAGGUUAAUCCAGCAAUACCAUACAUACUGGCUCUCAAAAAUUGAAAAUUUAGUGUGGAGCAUAUACCCAUGCUUCACUCUCAUUUGUUAACAACUAAAUAAGUAACUUAGGGAGGUGAUAGAUUAUCCAUGAAGGAAAAACUAUGAAUCAAUCAGUUAUAUAAAUAAAGGGCCCUUAAAAUUCUCUCAUUGCCAGAGGAAAGACAGUGGCCUCAGUGGACCACUGCCCUUUCUUCUGGCAAGGCUGCUCUUAGACAAGUCCUCUGUGUCCCGUUUCUUUCCACUACUAUCCCACAGUGUCUCAAGACACAUUUUUCCAUACUGAAUCUGUUUGUGUUUGGUCAACUUUAUAUAACAGAAUUUGUAUGCAGCA